GACGAACGCUGGCGGCGUGCUUAACACAUGCAAGUCGAACGGAAAGGCCCUGCUUUUGUGGGGUGCUCGAGUGGCGAACGGGUGAGUAACACGUGAGUAACCUGCCCUUGACUUUGGGAUAACUUCAGGAAACUGGGGCUAAUACCGGAUAGGAGCUCCUGCUGCAUGGUGGGGGUUGGAAAGUUUCGGCGGUUGGGGAUGGACUCGCGGCUUAUCAGCUUGUUGGUGGGGUAGUGGCUUACCAAGGCUUUGACGGGUAGCCGGCCUGAGAGGGUGACCGGCCACGUUGGGACUGAGAUACGGCCCAGACUCCUACGGGAGGCAGCAGUGGGGAAUAUUGCACAAUGGGCGGAAGCCUGAUGCAGCAACGCCGCGUGCGGGAUGACGGCCUUCGGGUUGUAAACCGCUUUCGCCUGUGACGAAGCGUGAGUGACGGUAAUGGGUAAAGAAGCACCGGCUAACUACGU
rnacentral:rRNA from 1 species